rnacentral:rRNA from 1 species
GAAAUCCGUAGAUAUAAGGAGGAACACCAAUGGCGUAGGCAGGUUACUGGGCUAUUUCUGACGCUAAGGCACGAAAGCGUGGGGAGCGAACCGGAUUAGAUACCCGGGUAGUGCACGCCGUAAACGAUGUCAACUAGUUGUUGGGGAUUCAUUUCCUUAGUAACGUAGCUAACGCGUGAAGUUGACCGCCUGGGGAGUACGGUCGCAAGAUUAAAACUCAAAGGAAUUGACGGGGACCCGCACAAGCGGUGGAUGAUGUGGAUUAAUUCGAUGCAACGCGAAAAACCUUACCUACCCUUGACAUGCCACUAACGAAGCAGAGAUGCAUUAGGUGCUCGAAAGAGAAAGUGGACACAGGUGCUGCAUGGCUGUCGUCAGCUCGUGUCGUGAGAUGUUGGGUUAAGUCCCGCAACGAGCGCAACCCUUGUCUCUAGUUGCUACGAAAGGGCACUCUAGAGAGACUGCCGGUGACAAACCGGAGGAAGGUGGGGAUGACGUCAAGUCCUCAUGGCCCUUAUGGGUAGGGCUUCACACGUCAUACAAUGGUGCAUACAGAGGGUUGCCAAGCCGCGAGGUGGAGCUAAUCCCAGAAAAUGCAUCGUAGUCCGGAUCGUAGUCUGCAACUCGACUACGUGAAGCUGGAAUCGCUAGUAAUCGCGGAUCAGCAUGCUGCGGUGAAUACGUUCCCGGGUCUUGUACACACCGCCCGUCACACCAUGGGAGUGGGCUUUACCAGAAGUAGUUAGCCUAACCGCAAGGAGGGCGAUUACCACGGUAGGGUUCAUGACUGGGGUGAAGUCGUAACAAGGUAGCCGU